CUGACAUUGACACUUCCACAUAUGGAGCACACUCUGUCGAGGCGCUAUGGCAUCUAAAGCCUUCACCUUAGGCUGCAGGCUAGAAGACCUCCUCCAUGCUGCUGAUUGGUCCCUGGAAUCUACUUUUCGGGAAUCCUAUUUUCGUCCAGUUAAAUUUUUUCCACUACGGUUGGUUGCACAGCUUUGAACAAGCAUAAUAUGAGCCUACGUGUCCUUUAAUAAAAUUACCAGAUUUGACUAAUUUCAUGGCGUAAAGUCAUGAUUUUAUUAAGGAUACAGAGUAUUAUCUCACCAGAUACAGGUAUGUUACACCCUCCCUGGGUUAUAUGUAUUAUUUUUACAAGAAGUAUGCAGUCUUUUUCGGGUAUUGUUAUUGUUCACCUAAUUGACUAAUUUCUGUUGACGUUAAUGUUGACGAAUCAGAUAUACUAUUGAUACUUGAUACUUUGUGGAUAAGAUUGAAUAUCCAAGAGCAUAUUUUACCACUUAUUUCUCUGUCUUUACAGCCUCCUAUUUGGUUCAAUAUACGUUCAAUAAGAGGAUUGCAAGUUAUCCGCUAAGUUAUCGCAUCUAGUUGGUCGUACAUUGCAGUCUUGUGGAGAUAUUCAUAGGCAUCAUUAAGAAAGAUGAUUGGCUGAAGGUCACAUGGGACAUUAUAGUACAAGGAGCAUUCCUAUUGGAUAAGAUGUUAUAGUGUGGUUAACCCUCUAAGGUACAUGUUAACUUUUUUCCUUUGUAUAUUUACAGUAUCCUUUCUUUGCUGCUGAGGAAUAAAGAAAGAGAUAAAGCAUAAUAUGAGCCUCCGUGUCCUUAAUAAAAUCAUGACUUUACAUCAUGAAAUUAGUAAAAUCUGGUCAUUUCUAAUCACGUUUGACACUUGCAUACUUCUUACACAACUGACUGACACGCAAGGUCACUUGUAAAGUAUUCUUUAUUUAGAGUGCACAUUUUAUUUCCGUUAAUAAACAAAGAUUUUUUUAACACAAGGCAGGACUCUUGUACACAAACUUCACAAAUUUGGUUACCCUAUGCUCAAAGUUAUAUUGCCAGCUUGCUUGGUAUCUUCUAAUGGAGAACAACUUCUUAAAUUGAGUAUUUUAACAAUUUAAAAAGAACCCAGCAAAGGCAAGACUUACUUGAUUGUUUUUAUGAAAAAUAUAGAUCCUUAUCUAGAUAUGUUCCCUUCUCUACAGUCUUGAUGAGUGCAACACCCUCUUGCGUGGUUUUCCAAUCUCACUCCUGUCCACCUACAAUUGAUAGAGAAGGUUGAUACCAUAUUAUCUUAAAUUUUGCAAACACUUGUAAGCAAUUAUAGUCAUACUCUACAUCUUGUAUCAUUUAAUGUAAAGUUAAUUCCUGUUUAUAAAGUGCUAUAAUACUAUAUAUGUUUAUCGUUAUAGCCCUGUAUUCACUGUUUGACUUAACAAGCACUGAGCUCUUUCGUAAAGUCAUAUGUUGUAUUUGAUAGCUCCACCUCUUCUGACAGUACAUUCCAUAUCUUCAUUAUUUUUACCAUAUAAACCUUUCCACUUGGAGUUUUCAUGUCCUUUAAUCAAGCCUUACAAGAUGGCCUUGUGGCCUUUAUAAUUAUAGUUGUUUGUAAAGUGCUGACAAAGUCUGCAUUGCGGAUUGUUAAAUGAUGUAACAAAGGUUUAUUCUAACGCGCAGAAAUAAAUUGCUCUUGUAGGUUUUGAGAGCCCUGCCAAAAGGCUUACAAUCUAAAAAAUGUACAGUUCUGUUAACAGGUCAGGAGCUGUUUGCAUUGAUCAAGAAUGUUAUCAUGUCCUACUCAAGACUUUCUUUUUAGUUUAGAAAAAUUUAACUUUUUCAUAAUAAGUCAUUAAUUCCCCUUAAUAAUUUUGUACUACAUAUUUUACAAUCCAUGUAUUUUUUUUAAUGGUGUCAAACACUGCACUACAUACCAAAGGUGUGAUUUUCUAAAUAUAUAAAAAGCAAAAUAAUAUUUUCUUCUUGAAAGUCAAUACAGUUUUUUAAAAAUUAGUGUUUUACUAGCCUUCAAUCUCUGACUGAUACUGUUUAUUGUUAACACGUUUGUUGUAAAUAAUUUAUAAUUAUCAUCAAAAAAUAUCCUUAAAGCAACAUUAUGUAAUGUAACUUGUAAUCUGUCACUUGCCUGCCCAGUCUCUUUUUAUUCUAAAUCCCUCUGUAGAGAAUUAAAAUCCAAUUUAGAGUGCAUCAUGUUACCAAGGUAGGUUAUUGGCAUGCAUUAUAUUCAAUGCAAAAUCAUUGCAGAAAUCAAAAGUCACCUACCACUUUUGUCUAAUUUACAUGAGCACUAAGCACCAUAAUCAUUGCAGUACGCUGUUGCAGUUAUGGUGAGAGCAUGCCCCUGGUGUUUUCACCCAGUUAUGUGUCAAAUCAUUUUUGAACAGUUAGACCCAGGCACCUGAGGCUCAGUUCCUCACUGUCCAUAUCACUACACUUCUGAAUAAGCAAAUACAUUUUUUUCAGGUUUAGAUGGCAUUCAUCAGCUUAGUCUUUUAACUGACACAAAACUGAUAUUACUAAUGUGGUAAUGUAACUGCCAAGAUAGAGACAUGGAUGGCGAGAGGCCAUGUCACAGGCACCCUUGGUUUGUAUCACACCAUUCGAAAACCAUUUGACAUAUAACCAAGGAUCUGUGUUAGCGGCCUGUGGGCACCAUAACCACUGUGACUGGUUGUAAUAGCUAUAGUACUUAUAGUACCCAUUUAAUAAAUUUUCAUUGACAACUCUCUGUAUUCUAUUGUUUAUAAUAUUUUUUUCCCAUCCAUUUAAACACAGAUUUGUAUUUUAAAGGAUCAUUAGAGUGUCAGGAAAACAAACUCAUUUUCCUGACACUAUAUAACCCUUAGGUGUGUGUGUCCCCCUCACCCUUAGGGUCCCCCUCCUGCUGUCAAGAAGAUAGCCACUAGAGGCUGGAUUAACCCUGCAAUGUAAACAUAGCAGUUUCUCUGAAACUGCUAUGUUUACAGCUGUAGCGUUAAAACCUGGGGGACCUGGCACCCAGACCACUUCUUUGAGCUGAAGUGGUCUGGGUGACUAUAAUGUCACUUUAAUUAACAUCUUUGCAUUGUUUUUUACCUAACUUUCCAGACUGUUUGUUCCCAUCUGUACAUGUCUCUUCUCUGAGAUAAGUUUAAAAUAUUUUGCAUUAUUUGUCUUUGUUCAGCAAUUAUUUGCUUUGGUUGAAACUUGCAAUAUUUUUCUAGACUACUGAUAUUGAUUAUUGGGUCAAGAAGUGCUGCAUUUCAAAAUAUAAUAUAAUGUCAGCACUUUUCCUGCAUGGUGGCCAUAAAGCUACUGCAGAACUACAACUCCCGUAUGCGGAUCUAGUUUUUUAUUACAAAAAUUUGAAGCCCAUAUUUUUGGACAUCCUUGUUCUCUGGUAUUCUUUUGAUUGUCUGUCUGUCUAAAUAGAGUUCUUUUGUUUGUGUCCUUAUAUAGGUUUUUAAAACGUAUAAAAUGUGCAUACUUUAUAUUUCUGUCUUCUAUUUUCUGUUAUGUUUGGUGUGGUUGGUCAAACCAACAGUAUUGUACUUCCACCAUCUGUGUGCCUACCACAUCUCUUCAUGUAUGAUGUUAACUACUACCAGUAAAUUCAUAAUUCCAAAUAGUUAUAUAAUUUUUCAAAUUGUAGGACCACACUUAACCUUAUACUGUACCAGUUCAUUCAGAAAUGUAGACUAUAUUGGCAAUUUAGCUGAACCUAAAAUGGAAACAUAUAUACAGAUAGUUACUUUGUAUUAAUUUUUAAGUCAUUUACCAACAGAGUGUCAAUUGUAAGCAGAUACAAAUCUAAAUUUUAUAACAAGACAGGAGGCUCGUAUUAUGCAUUAACUUUCUUUACUUAACUCUAGCAGCAAAGACAUUUUUUCAAUAAAGUUUAGUGAAUAAAAAAGAUAAAAAUAACAGAGUAACUGAAAUGGAACAUUGGUAGCCAAUCAGCAUCCAGCAUAGUAUAUAUAGUGAAUGAUCCCCAAUAUUCUCCCUCUUUCUUUGCUGCUCCAGUAGAGAUAAGUAUAUUAUAUAUUCACUUAUGCUACUGUUUUCUAUACAUAGAUGCAUACCUCACGGUACCUAUUCACCACUCAUGUCAGAAAUAUUUACAGUUCCUAUGGCAAGGGAAGAAAUGGCAAUUCAAAUCAUUGCUAUUUGGUUUAUCCUCUGCACCUUGGUGUUUCACCAAAUUACUCAAACCAGUAAUAUCCCUACUUCGAAGCAGGGGACUAAGAAAGAUAAUCUAUCUAGACGACAUAUUGAUUAUGUCACAGAGUGUGCAAACUCUUUACCUACAUUCUCAAUGGACACUGAAUCUGUUAACAAGCCUUGGCUUUGUAAUAAAUUACGAAAAAUCGAUUUUAACUCCCUCUCAGGAGAUAGAAUUUUUAGGAUUUCUAGUGAAUUCCAAUUUAGCCACUCUCAGCCUUGCAUCACGGAAAUUGAAAACGAUUUGAAAAGAGAUCAGGUCAGUUCUGAAGAAGGAAUUAAUUUCCAUCAGGUCUUUCACGGAUUGUAGGUCUUUUAUCAGCCUCAAUCCAGGCUAUCUUUCCAGCCCCCCUUCACUAUCGGGCUCUUCAAAGAUUGAAAAGAGAACAUCUACGCAACGGUCUCCUCUAUUCAGAAGAGAUUUCUCUAACUUCAGAGACAAGAACAGAACUAUCCUGGUGGUUAGAUCAUGUUCAAAUUUGGAACGGGAAAGCCAUUUUCACGUCAUUCCCAGACCUAACUAUAGAAUCCGACGCAAGUCGAUUAGGCUGGGGAGCCCGUUGUGGAGGCAAUUCCACAGGAGGCAAAUGGUCUCUAGAAGAGACGAAUAUGCAUAUAAACUGCCUGGAACUCAUGGCAGGGUUUUUCGCUCUACGCAGUUUUGCAAAACACAAAUCCUAUUGUUGUAUCCUUCUCAAGAUGGACAACAUAUCAGCAGUCCAAUAUAUAAAUCGCUUAGGAGGUGCAAAAUCCAAGCAACUGGCGGACAUUGUCAAAGAAUUAUGGCAUUUUUGCCUCCAUCGAAACAUAACGUUACGAGCAGAAUACCUUCCCGGCCUUUCCAAUACAGUAACAGAUUGGAAUUCCCGUUUCCUAGUGGAUUACAGCGACUGGAUGUUGGAUAGAAACAUAGAAUGUGACGGCAGAUAAGAACCAUUCGGCCCAUCUAGUCUGCCCAAUUUUCUAAAUACUUUCAUUAGUCCCUAGCCUUAUCUUAUAGUUAGGAUAGCCUUAUGCCUAUCCCACGCAUGCUUAAACUCCUUUACUGUGUUAACCUCUACCACUUCAGCUGGAAGGCUAUUCCAUGCAUCCACUACCCUCUCAGUAAAGUAAUACAUCCUGAUAUUAUUUUUAAACCUUUGUCCCUCUAAUUUAAGACUAUGUCCUCUUGUUGUGGUAGUUUUUCUUCUUUUAAAUAUAGUCUCCUCCUUUACUGUGUUGAUUCCCUUUAUAUAUUUAAAUGUUUCUAU
rnacentral:lncRNA from 1 species